UAGGCCCUCCCCCACGCCGAGAGGGCACACGCACCUGGGGGACACUCAGCCUUCCGGCCCCCUCAGGACGGGUGUCCCCCUGGUGUAACUCUCAGGAGGAGUCUCCCUGUCUCCCAAUCUUUGGGAAACAACUGCUGUAGUUGCCACAAGGAUGUGACUGAAAAUGGAAGGGGAGACAAAUCUACAAGAAAAUACCUGCCUAUUACAAUGUGGUCCGCACUUGAAAGAAUGUGAGAACCAGUGCAGUUGGAUACAUUUUCAAGGAAGAUACUAGGGCUGGGUCUACACUAAAAAGUUAAGUCAACCCAGCUAGGUCACUCUGGUGUGAAAAAUUCACACCACAUCCUACAGAGGCAAUGUCUGUACACUUACCAUUUAGAGUGCAAAAAGUCCUUUUUUGUGCUAAAACCGAGGAAGCAUCUACAAGAAAACCACCCUCACGAGGCAUAUAGCUCUUUCCGCUGUUCUUUUUGUGCUGUUGUGAAAGUGAAGAACCGUUCUACCAUUGUAAACACCUUUUGGCCUCCGAAGGAUAUUGCACAGUUCCAAAAGUGACCACUCUGGCCAGCAUCUUUACUGGUCUGACACCAGAAUCCAGGUGGGAGAUGUCACACAACAGUGUACUACCAUGACUGAACUGACAAGGCACGGAACCACGCACUGGCUUGCUAAACCCUUUGAUG